rnacentral:rRNA from 1 species
GAUGAACGCUGGCGGCGUGCCUAAUACAUGCAAGUCGAGCGAACGGACGAGAAGCUUGCUUCGCUGAUGUUAGCGGCGGACGGGUGAGUAACACGUGGAUAACCUACCUAUAAGACUGGGAUAACUUCGGGAAACGGGAGCUAACACGGGAGAAUAUUUUGCAGCACAUGGUUCAAAAGUGAAAGACGGUGUUGCGGGCAGGUAUAGAUGGAUACGCGCUGCAUGAGCUAGUUGGGAAGGACAAGGCCUACGAAGGCAACGAUGCAUAGCCGACCUGUUAGGCUGAUCGGCGACACUGGAACGUGGCCGCGCUCCAGGCUCCUGCGGGACGCACCAGUCGCCAAUCUUCCGCAGAGGGCGGAAACCUUACGCAGCGGCGCCGCGUGUGUGACGACGGUCUCCCGAUCGUAAAACUCUGUUAUUAGUGAAGAACCUCUGUGUCCGUAGCCGUGCCCUUCUUGACGGUACCUGAUCAGAAAGCCCCGGCUAACUACGUG